AGGAAGAAUAUUUCGGAGCUUCCAAAUUCAUGAAGAUUGGGGACCUUAAGGGGUUUUUCGGAUUGCUUAUGGUCAAUAUGCAACAGCUGAGAACGAAACUGAAUAUAUUGGACAACUCUUAUGGAAUUGGAACUGCUAACACAGCACUCGUAUAUCACGAUGGAAAA